GCUGGUCAGGCAAGCCCCAUCCAGGAAGCUAAUAUUCUAUUCCCCAAAUCGUUAACAACUUUCUGAGAAAGGCUGUUGAAAACUGGGUCAAACAUGGCUGUGAUGUCACCUAAAAACGAUUAGAUUGGCCUGGCAUGUGAACGAAAGCAUGAAGCAUUCACUUUCAUCUACCUUGGAUUCAACACCAAAACCUGGAAAAUUUGAAAGGCAUGUGGACUGACAGCAAGGAUUCCUGAUGAUGGCUAAACCAUCGACAUUCCAUCAGCGAAGAGGUGCCCACGUCACAUUGCCGACAUCUGAAUCGUCCAGCCCUCACGCCAGCAGUGCCCUUCUCUUCUAGUGAUCCACGCUCUGCCGAGAAUGUUUCGUACACCCGCCUUGCUGAAUAUCAGGAGGUCUUCAGUCUAGAGACCCCAGAAAGGAACGGGAUCACUGGCUUGGUGCCGCAAGAUACACACUUGAAUGCAGUUUUAGCUUAUAUGCGUAAUUAAAUCAACAUUAAUGAAUCCCAUUAAACUUAUUUUAUGUUAACUAUUUCAUAGCCUUUCCUG